UGCUUACACAUGCAGUCGACGAUGAAGCCCAGCUUGCUGGGUGGAUUAGUGGCGAACGGGUGAGUAACACGUGAGUAACCUGCCCCUGACUUUGGGAUAAGCCCGGGAAACUGGGUCUAAUACCGGAUAUGACUAUGGAACGCAUGUUUUGUGGUUGAAAGAUUUAUCGGUGAGGGAUGGACUCGCGGCCUAUCAGCUUGUUGGUGAGGUAAUGGCUCACCAAGGCGACGACGGGUAGCCGGCCUGAGAGGGUGACCGGCCACACUGGGACUGAGACACGGCCCAGACUCCUACGGGAGGCAGCAGUGGGGAAUAUUGCACAAUGGGCGGAAGCCUGAUGCAGCGACGCCGCGUGAGGGAUGACGGCCUUCGGGUUGUAAACCUCUUUCAGUAGGGAAGAAGCGAAAGUGACGGUACCUGCAGAAGAAGCGCCGGCUAACUACGUGCCAGCAGCCGCGGUAAUACGUAGGGCGCAAGCGUUAUCCGGAUUUAUUGGGCGUAAAGAGCUCGUAGGCGGUUUGUCGCGUCUGCCGUGAAAGUCCGAGGCUCAACCUCGGAUCUGCGGUGGGUACGGGCAGACUAGAGUGAUGUAGGGGAGACUGGAAUUCCUGGUGUAGCGGUGAAAUGCGCAGAUAUCAGGAGGAACACCGAUGGCGAAAGCAGGUCUCUGGGCAUUUACUGACGCUGAGGAGCGAAAGCAUGGGGAGCGAACAGGAUUAGAUACCCUGGUAGUCCAUGCCGUAAACGUUGGGCACUAGGUGUGGGGGACAUUCCACGUUUUCCGCGCCGUAGCUAACGCAUUAAUUGCCCCGCCUGGGGAGUACGGCCCGCAGGGCUAAAACUCACAGGAUUGACGGGGGCCCGCACAAC
rnacentral:rRNA from 1 species